GUACACUGAGAGGCCGUAGUGUUGCGGCGGGGACACAGCUGGUCCUGAGAAGGCAUCAUACUCAGACAAGCCUGCAAGAUUGCAUUCAUUCCUGUUGGUGAGUCCUAAGCUUUAGA
rnacentral:lncRNA from 1 species